UACAGAGGUCCCGAGCGUUGUUCGGAUUUAUUGGGCGUAAAGGGUGCGUAGGCGGCGGAGUAAGCUGGGUGUGAAAUCCCGGGGCUUAACCUCGGAAUGGCAUUCAAUACUGCUUCGCUAGAGUACUGGAGAGGAGGCUGGAAUUUACGGUGUAGCAGUGAAAUGCGUAGAUAUCGUAAGGAAGGCCGGUGGCGAAAGCGAGCCUCUGGACAGUUACUGACGCUGAUGCACGAAGGCCAGGGGAGCAAACGGG
rnacentral:rRNA from 1 species